UGGGGAAUAUUGCACAAUGGGCGAAAGCCUGAUGCAGCAACGCCGCGUGAGGGACGAAGGCCUUCGGGUUGUAAACCUCUUUUAGCAGGGAAGAAGCGAAAGUGACGGUACCUGCAGAAAAAGCACCGGCUAGCUACGUG
rnacentral:rRNA from 1 species